GCCAGGCGCGGUGGAGCAUGCCUGCAGUACCAGCUACUCGGGAGGCUGAGGUGGGAGGAUCGCUUGUGCCCAGGAGUUCUGGGCUGUAGUGCGCUAUGCCGAUCGGUGCUCGCACUAAGUUCGGGAUCAACAUGGUGACCUCCCAGGAGCAGGGGAUCACCAGGUUGCCUAAGGAGGGGUGAACCGGCCCAGGUCAGAAACAGAGCAGGUCAAAACUCCCAUGCUGAUCAGUGGGAUCGCGCCUGUGAAUAGCCACUGCACUCCAGCCUGGGCAACCUAGCGAGACCCUGUCUCU
rnacentral:SRP_RNA from 1 species